ensembl:snRNA U6 U6 spliceosomal RNA
GUGCUUGCUUCAGCAGCACAUACACUAAAACUGGACUGAUACAGAGAAUAAUAAGCAUAGGACCUGCACAAGGACAACACACAAAUUUGUGAAACAUUAUGUAUUUUU